rnacentral:lncRNA from 1 species
UUUGGACUUUCUUGUGCUGGGUGUCCAUCACCCUUUGUCCCACCUCUGGGAAGGUCUGAGAGAAGGGCCAAGUUUGCCACCCUAGUAGGGUGCCCCAUUCUGAAGGUGAGUGAGUUCCCAGCAAUCCCAGCAAUGCAGUUAAGUCUCUCCAAAAUUCAGCAAA